rnacentral:misc_RNA from 1 species
GAUGAAGAACGUAGCGAAAUGCGAUAAGUAAUGUGAAUUGCAGAAUUCAGUGAAUCAUCGAAUCUUUGAACGCACAUUGCGCCCGCCAGUAUUCUGGCGGGCAUGCCUGUUCGAGCGUCAUUACGACCCUCAGGCCCCCGGGCCUGGCGUUGGGGAUCGGCGGAAGCCCCCUGCGGGCACAACGCCGUCCCCCAAAUACAGUGGCGGUCCCGCCGCAGCUUCCAUUGCGUAGUAGCUAACACCUCGCAACUGGAGAGCGGCGCGGCCACGCCGUAAAACACCCAACUUCUGAAUGUUGACCUCGAAUCAGGUAGGAAUACCCGCUGAACUUAAGCAUAUCAAUAAGCGGAGGA